rnacentral:rRNA from 1 species
AGUGAACGCUGGCGGUAGGCCUAACACAUGCAAGUCGAACGGCAGCACAGUAAGAGCUUGCUCUUACGGGUGGCGAGUGGCGGACGGGUGAGGUAUACAUCGGAAUCUACUUUUUCGUGGGGGAUAACGUAGGGAAACUUACGCUAAUACCGCAUACGACCUACGGGUGAAAGCAUGGGAUCUUCUGACCUUGCGCGAUUGAAUGAGCCGAUGUCGGAUUAGCUAGUUGGCGGGGUAAAGGCCCACCAAGGCGACGAUCCGUAGCUGGUCUGAGAGGAUGAUCAGCCACAGUGGAACAGAGACACGGUCCAGAGUACUACGGGAGGCAGCAGAGGGGAAUAUAGGAAAAAGGGAGCAAGAAUAAAAAAGGAAAACCGCGUGGGUGAAGAAGGACUGAGGGUUGUAAAGACGUUUUGUUGGGAAAGAAAAGAAGCAGGUUAAAACACCGAUGUUCUGACGGUACAAAAAGAAUAAGCAACGGCUAACUACGUG